AUGAACGCUGGCGGCGUGCCUAAUCCCUGCAAGUCGAGCGAACGGACGAGAAGCUUGCUCCUCUGAUGUUAGCGGCGGACGGGUGAGUAACACGUGGAUAACCUACCUAUAAGACUGGGAUAACUUCGGGAAACCGUAGCUAAUACCGGAUAAUAUUUUGAACCGCAUGGUUCAAAAGUGAAAGACGGUCUUGCUGUCACUUAUAGAUGGAUCCGCGCUGCAUUAGCUAGUUGGUAAGGUAACGGCUUACCAAGGCAACGAUGCAUAGCCGACCUGAGAGGGUGAUCGGCCACACUGGAACUGAGACACGGUCCAGACUCCUACGGGAGGCAGCAGUAGGGAAUCUUCCGCAAUGGGCGAAAGCCUGACGGAGCAACGCCGCGUGAGUGAUGAAGGUCUUCGGAUCGUAAAACUCUGUUAUUAGGGAAGAACAUAUGUGUAAGUAACUGUGCACAUCUUGACGGUACCUAAUCAGAAAGCCACGGCUAACUACGUG
rnacentral:rRNA from 1 species